GCUCGUUAGUCGGGGGGCCUUAGGGCUGAGAUGGUAUUUAAUACUGGACCCGCUGAACCUGAUCCAAAUCAUAUUGGCGUAGGGAACUAACUUGAUUAAUAG
rfam:Osedax symbiont Rs2 5222_72, whole genome shotgun sequence.